GAUGAACGCUGGCGGCGUGCCUAAUACAUGCAAGUCGAGCGAACGGACGAGAAGCUUGCUUCUCUGAUGUUAGCGGCGGACGGGUGAGUAACACGUGGAUAACCUACCUAUAAGACUGGGAUAACUUCGGGAAACCGGAGCUAAUACCGGAUAAUAUUUUGAACCGCAUGGUUCAAAAGUGAAAGACGGUCUUGCUGUCACUUAUAGAUGGAUCCGCGCUGCAUUAGCUAGAUGGUAAGGUAACGGCUUACCAAGGCAACGAUGCAUAGCCGACCUGAGAGAGGGAUCGGCCACACGGGAACUGGGACACGGUCCAGACUCCUACGGGAGGCAGCAGUAGGGAAUCGUCCGCAAUGGGCGAAAGCCUGACGGAGCAACGCCGCGUGAGUGAUGAAGGUCUUCGGAUCGUAAAGCUCUGUUAUUAGGGAAGAACAUAUGUGUAAGUAACUGUGCACAUCGUGACGGUACCUAAUCAGAAAGCCACGGCUAACUACGUG
rnacentral:rRNA from 1 species